GGCGGCUUACCUGCAAGUCGAGCGGAUGAAGGGAGCUUGCUCCUGGAUUCAGCGGCGGACGGGUGAGUAAUGCUUAGGAAUCUGCCUAUUAGUGGGGGACAACAGUUGGAAACGACUGCUAAUACCGCAUACGCCCUACGGGGGAAAGGAGGGGAUCUUCGGACCUUUCGCUAAUAGAUGAGCCUAAGUCAGAUUAGCUAGUUGGUGGGGUAAAGGCCUACCAAGGCGACGAUCUGUAGCGGGUCUGAGAGGAUGAUCCGCCACACUGGGACUGAGACACGGCCCAGACUCCUACGGGAGGCAGCAGUGGGGAAUAUUGGACAAUGGGGGCAACCCUGAUCCAGCCAUGCCGCGUGUGUGAAGAAGGCCUUUUGGUUGUAAAGCACUUUAAGCGAGGAGGAGGAGCUCUAGAUUAAUACUUUAGAUGCUUGGACGUUACUCGCAGAAUAAGCACCGGCUAACUCUGUGCCAGCAGCCGCGGUAAUACAGAGGGUGCGAGCGUUAAUCGGAUUUACUGGGCGUAAAGCGUACGUAGGCGGCUUUUUAAGUCGGAUGUGAAAUCCCUGAGCUUAACUUAGGAAUUGCAUUCGAUACUGGGAAGCUAGAGUAUGGGAGAGGAUGGUAGAAUUCCAGGUGUAGCGGUGAAAUGCGUAGAGAUCUGGAGGAAUACCGAUGGCGAAGGCAGCCAUCUGGCCUAAUACUGACGCUGAGGUACGAAAGCAUGGGGAGCAAACAGGAUUAGAUACCCUGGUAGUCCAUGCCGUAAACGAUGUCUACUAGCCGUUGGGGCCUUUGAGGCUUUAGUGGCGCAGCUAACGCGAUAAGUAGACCGCCUGGGGAGUACGGUCGCAAGACUAAAACUCAAAUGAAUUGACGGGGGCCCGCACAAGCGGUGGAGCAUGUGGUUUAAUUCGAUGCAACGCGAAGAACCUUACCUGGUCUUGACAUAGUAAGAACUUUCCAGAGAUGGAUUGGUGCCUUCGGGAACUUACAUACAGUGCUGCAUGGCUGUCGUCAGCUCG
rnacentral:rRNA from 1 species